GACGAACGCUGGCGGCGUGCUUAACACAUGCCAGUCGAACGGAAAGGCCCUGCUUUCGUGUGGUGUCCGCGUGGCGCACGGGUGUGUUACCCGUGAGUCUCCUGCCCUUGACUUUGUGAUAACUUCAGGCAACCGCGGCUACCGCCUGCUAGGUGCUCCUGCUGCUUGGUGGGGGUUGGACCGCUUCGGCGGUUGGGGAUCGACUGCCGGCUUAACAGCUUGUUGGUGGGGUAGUUGCUUACCCAGCCUUCGACGGAUAGCCGGCACGAGAGGGUGAACGGCGUCAUGGGGACUGAGGGACGGCGCAGACGCCUACGGGAGACAGCGGUGGGGAAUAUUGCACAAUGGGCGGAAGCCUGAGGCAGCAAUGCCGCGUGCGGGAUGACGGCCUUCGGGUGGUAAACCGCUUUAACCUGUGACGAAGCGGGAGUGACGGUAAUGGGUAAAGAAGCACCGGCUAACUACGUG
rnacentral:rRNA from 1 species